AUGUUUGGAAAUCACACUGAUUUUCAAGGCGUCACAUUGCGGCAUCAUGAAGCUAGCACAGAUAGCUUCCCGGUUUUCACACCAGAGAAAAACCACUCCUUAGAGGCCUCUCUUUGUUUUCAUUUCUCAGUGUAUGUUUGGAAAUUGCAUGGCAGUUUUCACAGCAUCUCCAUGCGGCAACAUGAAGCUAGCACAGAUAGCUUUCUGGAAAGUAAUCUUCCUACUCACUGUCCCACAUUACUACUCUACUGUUUCCUUUAUUUCUUUUCCUUUGAGAUUUUGUUUCCAAGUUAUCAUUUUUGGACAAUAAGAUAA